rnacentral:misc_RNA from 1 species
ACGGAGGAAGGGGAUUAUCAGGUAAAACUCCGCAACCUGAUACGUUUCCUUGAAGGAGGGGAUAAGGCUAAGGUUUCUUUACGUUACCGCGGCCGUGAAAUGGCCCAUCAGGAGCUUGGCAUGCAACUUAUGAACCGAGUCGCUCAAGACUUGGAAGAGUAUGGUGUAGUAGAGCAAGCUGCGAAAAUGGAAGGUCGUCAAUUGACUAUGGUGCUGGCCCCUAAAAAGAAGAAGUAAUAAAAGUGGCUAAGUCUUUGACUUAGCCCUUGUUAUUACAUUUAACAUUAACGAAUGCGAGAGUGGUUUUACCAUGCCAA